GGACAUUGGUGUAAUGGUAACACACUUCCCUUGCACGGAAGAGACCCGAGUUCGAUUCUCGGAUGAAUCCA
rnacentral:tRNA from 1 species